AUUGAACGCUGGCGGCAGGCCUAACACAUGCGAGUCGAGCGGAUGAAGGGAGCUUGCUCCUGGAUUCAGCGGCGGACGGGUGAGUAAUGCCUAGGAAUCUGCCUGGUAGUGGGGGAUAACGUCCGGAAACGGGCACUAAUACCGCAUACGUCCUGAGGGAGAAAGUGGGGGAUCUUCGGACCUCACGCUAUCAGAUGAGCCUAGGUCGGAUUAGCUAGUUGGUGGGGUAAAGGCCUACCAAGGCGACGAUCCGUAACUGGUCUGAGAGGAUGAUCAGUCACACUGGAACUGAGACACGGUCCAGACUCCUACGGGAGGCAGCAGUGGGGAAUAUUGGACAAUGGGCGAAAGCCUGAUCCAGCCAUGCCGCGUGUGUGAAGAAGGUCUUCGGAUUGUAAAGCACUUUAAGUUGGGAGGAAGGGCAGUAAGUUAAUACCUUGCUGUUUUGACGUUACCAACAGAAUAAGCACCGGCUAACUUCGUG
rnacentral:rRNA from 1 species